AACCAGGUUGGUUUAUGACUUUAUCUAUGACUGCUCUUAUCUUCUGUUCACCUGGAUAUUCCUAUUCCAGUGUGUGUGAGACAGAGAUAGAGGUUACUUCACUUGCUUUGGCAAUGUUUACAUAUGCUUCCCAUAACAAUAACGCCCUUAAAUGAGAGAGAGAGAGAUGUUACGAGCGAGGGACAGAGAGAGACAGUUAAUUAUAAUCUUACUUGCUGUGGAAAUGAGUCUGAUCCAGUAGUUAGUAGAGUAGUCUGAUCCAGGUGUGUUUUAGACCAGUAGUUAGUAGUCUGAUCCAGGUGGGUUUUAGACCAGUAGUUAGUAGAGUAGUCUGAUCCUGGUGUGUUUUAGACCGGUAGUUAGUAGAGUAGUCUGAUCCAGGUGUGUUUUAGACCAGUACUUAGUAGAGUAGUCUGAUCCAGGUGUGUUUUAGACCAGUAGUUAGUAGUCUGAUCCAGGUGUGUUUUAGACCGGUAGUUAGUAGAGUAGUCUGAUCCUGGUGUGUUUUAGACCGGUAGUUAGUAGAGUAGUCUGAUCCAGGUGUGUUUUAGAUCAGUAGUUAGUAGUCUGAUCCAGGUGUGUUUUAGACCAGUAGUUAGUAGUCUGAUCCAGGUGUGUUUUAGACCAG
ensembl:lncRNA